AUUGAACGCUGGCGGAAUGCUUUACACAUGCAAGUCGAGCGGCAGCGCAGGGGCAACCCUGGCGGCGAGCGGCGAACGGGUGAGUAACAUAUCGGAACGUACCCCGUCGUGGGGGAUAACUAUCCGAAAGGAUAGCUAAUACCGCAUACGACCUGAGGGUGAAAGCGGGGGACCGUAAGGCCUCGCGCGAUGGGAGCGGCCGAUAUCGGAUUAGCUAGUUGGUGAGGUAAAGGCUCACCAAGGCGACGAUCCGUAGCUGGUCUGAGAGGACGACCAGCCACACUGGAACUGAGACACGGUCCAGACUCCUACGGGAGGCAGCAGUGGGGAAUUUUGGACAAUGGGGGCAACCCUGAUCCAGCCAUUCCGCGUGAGUGAAGAAGGCCUUCGGGUUGUAAAGCUCUUUCAGCAGGAACGAAACGGUGGUCCCUAAUACGGGCUACUAAUGACGGUACCUGAAGAAGAAGCACCGGCUAACUACGUG
rnacentral:rRNA from 1 species